rnacentral:rRNA from 1 species
UACGUAGGGCGCAAGCGUUGUCCGGAAUUAUUGGGCGUAAAGAGCUCGUAGGCGGCUUGUCACGUCGGGUGUGAAAGCCCGGAGCUUAACCCCGGGUCUGCAUUCGAUACGGGCAGGCUAGAGUGUGGUAGGGGAGAUCGGAAUUCCUGGUGUAGCGGUGAAAUGCGCAGAUAUCAGGAGGAACACCGGUGGCGAAGGCGGAUCUCUGGGCCUUACCUGACGCUGAGGCGCGAAAGCUAGGGGAGCAAACAGG